rnacentral:rRNA from 1 species
AGACGUCUACAUUAGAUACCCGUGUAGUCCCAGCCCUAAACGAUGCGCGUUAGGUGUAUCGGUGACCACGAGUCACCGAGGUGCCGAAGGGAAACCGUGAAACGUGCCGCCUGGGAAGUACGGUCGCAAGGCUGAAACUUAAAGGAAUUGGCGGGGAGCACCACAACGGGUGGAGCCUGCGGUUUAAUUGGACUCAACGCCGGGAAGCUCACCGGAUAAGACAGCGGAAUGAUUGCCGGGCUGAAGACUCUGCAUGACUAGCUG